rnacentral:rRNA from 1 species
UACGUAGGGGGCAAGCGUUAUCCAGAUUUACUGGGCGUAAAGCGCGUGUAGGCGGCUGGGUAGGUGUGAUGUGAAAUCUUCCGGCUCAACCGGAAAACUGCAUUGCAAACCGGCCUGGCUAGAGUGCAGGAGAGGGAAGCGGAAUUCCAGGUGUAGCGGUGAAAUGCGUAGAUAUCAGGAGGAACACCGGUGGCGAAGGCGGGUCUCUGGGCCGAUACUGACGCUGAGGAGCGAAAGCGUGGGGAGCGAACAGG